rnacentral:rRNA from 1 species
CCUACGGUGAGCAGCAGUCGAGAAUUAUUCACAAUGGGGGAAACCCUGAUGGUGCGACGCCGCGUGGGGGAAUGAAGGUCUUCGGAUUGUAAACCCCUGUCAUGUGGGAGCAAAUUAAAAAGAUAGUACCACAAGAGGAAGAGACGGCUACCUCUGUGCCAGCAGCCGCGGUAAUACAGAGGUCUCAAGCGUGGUUCGGAAUCACUGGGCGUAAAGCGUGCGUAGGCUGUUUCGUAAGUCGUGUGUGAAAGGAGCGGGCCCAACCCGCGGACGGCACAUGAUACUGCGAGACUAGAGUAAUGGAGGGGGAACCGGAAUUCUUGGUGUAGCAGUGAAAUGCGUAGAUAUCGAGAGGAACACUCGUGGCGAAGGCGAGUUCCUGGA